ACCCGCUGAACUUAAGCAUAUCAAUAAGCGGAGGAAAAGAAACCAACAGGGAUUGCCCUAGUAACGGCGAGUGAAGCGGCAACAGCUCAAAUUUGAAAUCUGGCGUCUUUGGCGUCCGAGUUGUAAUUUGCAGAGGGCGCUUUGGCAUUGGCAGCGGUCCAAGUUCCUUGGAACAGGACGUCACAGAGGGUGAGAAUCCCGUACGUGGUCGCUAGCCUUUACCGUGUAAAGCCCCUUCGACGAGUCGAGUUGUUUGGGAAUGCAGCUCUAAUGGGAGGUAAAUUUCUUCUAAAGCUAAAUACUGGCCAGAGACCGAUAGCGCACAAGUAGAGUGAUCGAAAGAUGAAAAGCACUUUGGAAAGAGAGUUAAAAAGCACGUGAAAUUGUUGAAAGGGAAGCGCUUGCAGCCAGACUUGCCUGUAGUUGCUCAUCCGGGUUUUUACCCGGUGCACUCUUCUAUAGGCAGGCCAGCAUCAGUUUGGGCGGUUGGAUAAAGGUCUCUGUCAUGUACCUCUCUUCGGGGAGAACUUAUAGGGGAGACGACAUGCAACCAGCCCGGACUGAGGUCCGCGCAUCUGCUAGGAUGCUGGCGUAAUGGCUGU
rnacentral:rRNA from 1 species